CGGGCCGUAGUAUAGUGGCAGUAUAUGUGCUUUGGGAGCACAAGGUUCGAGUUCGAUUCUCGGCGGCCCGA
rfam:Candidatus Zambryskibacteria bacterium RIFCSPHIGHO2_01_FTLL_46_30 rifcsphigho2_01_scaffold_8131, whole genome shotgun sequence.